GACGAACGCUGGCGGCGUGCCUAAUACAUGCAAGUAGGACGCAGUUGCGAACGGGUGAGUAACGCGUAGGUCACUGCCUAUUAGAGGGGGAUAACUAUUGGAAACGAUAGCUAAUACCGCAUACUAGUAGAUGGACCUGCGUUGUAUUAGCUAGUAGGUAGGGUAAUGGCCUACCUAGGCGACGAUACAUAUCCGAGCUGGAGGGGUGAUCGGCCAACCUGGGACUGUGAAACGGGCCAGACUCCUACGGGAGGGAGCAGUAGGGACACUUCGGCAAUGGGGGGAAACCGUACCGAGGAAAGCCGAGUGAGUGAAGAAGGUUUUCGGGUCGUAAAGCUAUGUUGUUAAGGAAGCGGUACUUAACCAGAAAGGGACGGCUAACUACGUGCCAGCAGCCGCGGUAAUAC
rnacentral:rRNA from 1 species